ensembl:lncRNA uncharacterized LOC107307709
AUGGGGCAACUACGGGAGACAACUGCUCCCAGAUGUUGCUUUUUGCUCUUACUUCUCCUCUUUCUUGUGACGCCAUGUCAUGGGCAACCCCAGAAUGUCGCGUGGGAAGCACUGAGUCCAGAUGAUCGUGUUGACGACAUACAAGAAUCAUAUCCCAUUGAAGGUGAUCAAGAACGUCUCCAGGAUUCCAGGGAUCUGCCUGCACACCAUAUAUCUGGGAUGUACCGUUUCCAUCAGCCUCAAGGCUACCCCAGGGCUGUUGCACCUCAGAUUCCUAAUCCACGUUCUCAGAUGGUUCUUGGUUUUGGGCCUGAAGAGUAUUCCAGAGUUGCCGGUGGUGUGAGAACUACGAUGCGUGUGGAACAGAAACGGGGGGAAUAUAACUCUGCGUUUGCAGUGCUUGCCAUCCUGUUCUGUCUGGUCAUUCUGGCUGCUUUGGCUUUCCUGGCAAAACGUCUGCUGAUGAAGAGACAAGAAGAUGCAAUGCCAUUUGAAGCUGUCAGGAAAAAUGAAGACCCAGAUCCAGCAAAUGAAGGGCAAACCAUCGUGAGAUUUAUGAUAGAAAUUGAAGAUCUUUCUGGGGAUUCAAUGUCAAAUCUGAAGGGUCUCCACUCUGCUAUCUCACAAAUCAAUGACAUAUUCAGUCAGUCCCCACAGCGAUCCGCAAAGCAGUCAGGAAUCGCUGAAAGAAGCAAAAAGGCACAAAAGUCACGAAAAGAGGAGAAAAAUACAUCCUGA